rnacentral:rRNA from 1 species
AGUCACUGACAUUAGAUACCCGGGUAGUCCAGGGUGUAAACGCUGCAGACUUGGUGUUGGAAGUCCUUUGGGGGCAUUCAGUGCCGGAGAGAAGUUGUUAAGUCUGCUACUUGGGGAGUACGUCCGCAAGGAUGAAACUUAAAGGAAUUGGCGGGGGAGCACCGCAACGGGAGGAGCGUGCGGUUUAAUUGGAUUCAACGCCGAAAAACUCACCAGCAGCGACUGUUACAUGAAAGCCAGGUUGAUGACCUUACUAGAUUUUCAG